AAACGGCUGCGAAUGCUUCGAGGCAAUAUCCAGCGCCCCUGGUGGAGGAUUCAUCCAGUCAAAACACCAUAACUGUACGUCCAACAGCCCACAAUCUCACACCCGCAGGCAGAGAUAGUCACAGUCUCUCAGGGAGCAAGCAGUGUCUCAGUGGAGUGCUUGCUAGCUAGCUUACUCGAGCUGUGAACCCGUGAUCUCGCCAGCUGAAGCCGUCCCUGACUGUGAUCCGCCCACGCGGCUUGAUGGGCCGAAGGAUGGCCAUAUGGUUGCUCGUCGCCGCCGCCGUCAUCCUGCCCCUGCUGGCCGUCGCCACGCAUCGCCUGCCGCGGCAUGCUCCAGGUACGCACGAUCGAGUGCCAAGAGAUUUCCCUCGCUUGGGUGUUCCGGGUCCUAGCUAGUCUGCUCUGCUGCAUAUGCAUGCACGAAUGGAUGAUUGAUUAGAUUUCGGUGUUGAUGGUGCUAGGUGGCGGCUCCGGCGCGUGGGGUCGACCGGAGGGGCUGCGCCAUGGAGGGACGCUGCUGGGUGUGGGAGCUGCGAGGCGCCUGGGGCAGAGGACGCCGCUGAAGGCGCCUCCCUCGCCGGACCCCAAUCCCGGCAAGGGCACGUCGACGCAUCGGCUGCCCACGCGCCUCCCCUCUCCUCCGUCCAUCAAAGAAUAGUGGCCAUUAAUUAAUUUUUUGCAGACACCGACCAGUCUUGGACGGUUUCUCAGCAGCAUGGAGAAUAAAAAAGACAAUAGAUAACCAUUGCCAAAAUAAACUCUCUUCCCUUUGUUUUGUCACAAGCACAUUUCUAAGUCAUCUCAUAACAAUGCAGAGUUUUUCCAAAAAAUCUGGAUCUAAAGCGAC
rnacentral:lncRNA from 1 species